CAGAUAUAUUCGGUAAAGCUAAUGAUUAGAGACAUUGGGGACGAAAUGUCCUCAACCUAUUCUCAAACUUUCAAUGGGUAUGAUGUUGCGGUUGCUUGAUUGAACCGUGACUGCGAUUGUAUGCUCCAAGUGGGCCAUUUUUGGUAAGCAGAACUGGCGAUGCGGGAUGAACCGAACGUUGGGUUAAGGUGCCUAACUUCCCGCUCAUGAGACCCCCAUAAAAGGCGUUGGUUGAUAUAGACAGCAGGACGGUGGCCAUGGAAGUCGGAAUCCGCUAAGGAGUGUGUAACAACUCACCUGCCGAAUCAACUAGCCCUGAAAAUGGAUGGCGCUUGAGCGGGGGACCGUAUACCCGACCGCUGGUUGCUUGUACGUACGGACUGUCGUCAGGCAUCAGUGAGUAGGCAGGUGCAGCGGUGUGCGUUGAAGGCUUAGGGCGUGAGCCGGCUGGAGCCGCCGUUGGUGCAGAUCUUGGUGGUAGUAGCAAAUAUUCAAGUGAGAUCCUUAG
rnacentral:rRNA from 1 species